UACGUAGGGUGCAAGCGUUUGUCCGGAAUUAUUGGGCGUAAAGAGCUCGUAGGCGGUCUGUCGCGUCGGCUGUGAAACCCGGAGCUCAACUCCGGGCCUGCAGUCGAUACGGGCAGACUGGAGUUCGGCAGGGGAGACUGGAAUUCCUGGUGUAGCGGUGAAAUGCGCAGAUAUCAGGAGGAACACCGGUGGCGAAGGCGGGUCUCUGGGCCGAUGACUGACGCUGAGACGCGAAAGCGUGGGGAGCGAACAGG
rnacentral:rRNA from 1 species